rnacentral:rRNA from 1 species
AUACGGAGGGUGCAAGCGUUGUUCGGAAUUACUGGGCGUAAAGAGUACGUAGGCGGAUCGUUAAGUUAGAGGUGAAAUCCCAGGGCUCAACCCUGGAACUGCCUUUAAUACUGGCGAUCUAGAGAUCGAGAGAGGUGAGUGGAAUUUCCAAUGUAGAGGUGAAAUUCGUAGAUAUUGGAAAGAACACCAGUGGCGAAGGCGGCUCACUGGCUCGAUACUGACGCUGAGGUACGAAAGCGUGGGGAGCAAACAGGAUUAGAAACCCUUGUAGUCC